rnacentral:rRNA from 1 species
UACGAAGGGGGCGAGCGUUGUUCGGAUUUACUGGGCGUAAAGGGCGCGCAGGCGGCUACAUUUGUCAGGCGUGAAAGCCCCGGGCUUAACCUGGGAACUGCGUUUGAUACGGUGUGGCUAGAGUUCGGGAGAGGAGAGUGGAAUUCCCAGUGUAGAGGUGAAAUUCGUAGAUAUUGGGAGGAACACCAGUGGCGAAGGCGGCGAGCUGGGCCAUUACUGACGCUGAGGCGCGACAGCGUGGGGAGCAAACAGG